UAAAGGACUACGAUCAGCUGAUUAAAACUUAAAGAGCAUGGCGGUCACAAGAAAAUUUAGGGGAACUUACCAAGUAAUUGACAACCCACAAGGCACCCUUCUUAACUUUAGAGUUUGUAUACCGCCGUCUUGGCACCUUUUAAAAAAGGUGCCAAGGUAAAUUUUUUUUAAGAAGACAGGUCAUGGUGCAGCUAAUGGUUAAGUUUUAGGCGAGUUACGAUAAUAUUUAAUUUUUUCGAGAAAAAUUUAAAAUUUUUCGAGAAGAGGACUUAAAAGUAAUGUUUAUGAAAAAAUACAACUUGAAUUUAAUUUUAACUCUUGUGGUGC
rnacentral:rRNA from 1 species